ACAAUAAGCGGAGGAAAAGAAACCAACAGGGAUUGCCUUAGUAGCGGCGAGUGAAGCGGCAAAAGCUCAAAUUUGAAAUCUGGCUCUUUCAGAGUCCGAGUUGUAAUUUGAAGAAGGUAUCUUUGGGUCUGGCUCUUGUCUAUGUUUCUUGGAACAGAACGUCACAGAGGGUGAGAAUCCCGUGCGAUGAGAUGAUCCAGGCCUAUGUAAAGUUCCUUCGAAGAGUCGAGUUGUUUGGGAAUGCAGCUCUAAGUGGGUGGUAAAUUCCAUCUAAAGCUAAAUAUUGGCGAGAGACCGAUAGCGAACAAGUACAGUGAUGGAAAGAUGAAAAGAACUUUGAAAAGAGAGUGAAAAAGUACGUGAAAUUGUUGAAAGGGAAGGGCUUGAGAUCAGACUUGGUAUUUUGUAUGUUACUUCUUCGGGGGUGGCCUCUACAGUUUAUCGGGCCAGCAUCAGUUUGGGCGGUAGGAGAAUUGCGUUGGAAUGUGGCACGGCCUCGGUUGUGUGUUAUAGCCUUCGUCGAUACUGCCAGCCUAGACUGAGGACUGCGGUUUAUACCUAGGAUGUUGGCAU
rnacentral:rRNA from 1 species